CCUACGGGAGGCAGCAGUGGGGAAUUUUGGACAAUGGGCGCAAGCCUGAUCCAGCCAUUCCGCGUGCAGGAUGAAGGCCUUCGGGUUGUAAACUGCUUUUGUACGGAACGAAAAGGCUCUGGUUAAUACCCGGGGCUCAUGACGGUACCGUAAGAAUAAGCACCGGCUAACUACGUGCCAGCAGCCGCGGUAAU
rnacentral:rRNA from 1 species